ACGGGUGUAGCUCAGCUGGUAGAGUACUGGUCUCCAAAACCAUUGGUCGUGGGUUCGAAUCCUACCGCCCGUG
rnacentral:tRNA from 1 species